rnacentral:SRP_RNA from 1 species
GCCAGGUGCAGUGGCUCAUGCCUGUAAUCCCAGCACUUUGGGAGGCCGAGACGGGCGGAUCACGAGGUCAGGAGAUCGAGACCAUCCUGGCUAACACGGUGAAACCUGGUUUCACCGUGUUAGCCAGGAUGGUCUCGAUCUCCUGACCUCGUGAUCCGCCCGUCUCGG